UACACACCGCCCGUCACACCAUGGAAGUUGGGGGCGCCCGAAGCCGGUUAGCUAACCUUUUAGGAAGCGGCCGUCGAAGGUGAAACCAAUGACUGGGGUGAAGUCGUAACAAGGUAGCCGUAUCGGAAGGUGCGGCUGGAUCACCUCCUUU
rnacentral:rRNA from 1 species